rnacentral:rRNA from 2 species
AAACCAACAGGGAUUGCCUUAGUAACGGCGAGUGAAGCGGCAAAAGCUCAAAUUUGAAAUCUGGCACCUUCGGUGUCCGAGUUGUAAUUUGAAGAAGGUAACUUUGGAGUUGGCUCUUGUCUAUGUUCCUUGGAACAGGACGUCACAGAGGGUGAGAAUCCCGUGCGAUGAGAUGCCCAAUUCUAUGUAAAGUGCUUUCGAAGAGUCGAGUUGUUUGGGAAUGCAGCUCUAAGUGGGUGGUAAAUUCCAUCUAAAGCUAAAUAUUGGCGAGAGACCGAUAGCGAACAAGUACAGUGAUGGAAAGAUGAAAAGAACUUUGAAAAGAGAGUGAAAAAGUACGUGAAAUUGUUGAAAGGGAAGGGCUUGAGAUCAGACUUGGUAUUUUGCGAUCCUUUCCUUCUUGGUUGGGUUCCUCGCAGCUUACUGGGCCAGCAUCGGUUUGGAUGGUAGGAUAAUGACUAAGGAAUGUGGCUCUACUUCGGUGGAGUGUUAUAGCCUUGGUUGAUACUGCCUGUCUAGACCGAGGACUGCGUCUUUGACUAGGAUGCUGGCAUAAUGAUCUUAAGCCAC